GAUGAACGCUGGCGGCGUGCCUAAUACAUGCAAGUCGAGCGAACGGACGAGAAGCUUGCUUCUCUGAUGUUAGCGGCGGACGGGUGAGUAACACGUGGAUAACCUACCUACAAGACUGGGAUAACUUCGGGAAACCGGAGCUAAUACCGGAUAAUAUUUUGAACCGCAUGGUUCAAAAGUGAAAGACGGUCUUGCUGUCACUUAUAGAUGGAUCCGCGCUGCAUUAGCUAGUUGGUAAGGUAACGGCUUACCAAGGCAACGAUGCAUAGCCGACCUGAGAGGGUGAUCGGCCACACUGGAACUGAGACACGGUCCAGACUCCUACGGGAGGCAGCAGUAGGGAAUCUUCCGCAAUGGGCGAAAGCCUGACGGAGCAACGCCGCGUGAGUGAUGAAGGUCUUCGGAUCGUAAAACUCUGUUAUUAGGGAAGAACAUAUGUGUAAGUAACUGUGCACAUCUUGACGGUACCUAAUCAGAAAGCCACGGCUAACUACGUGCCAGCAGCCGCGGUAAUACGUAGGUGGCAAGCGUUAUCCGGAAUUAUUGGGCGUAAAGCGCGCGUAGGCGGUUUUUUAAGUCUGAUGUGAAAGCCCACGGCUCAACCGUGGAGGGUCAUUGGAAACUGGAAAACUUGAGUGCAGAAGAGGAAAGUGGAAUUCCAUGUGUAGCGGUGAAAUGCGCAGAGAUAUGGAGGAACACCAGUGGCGAAGGCGACUUUCUGGUCUGUAACUGACGCUGAUGUGCGAAAGCGUGGGGAUCAAACAGGAUUAGAUACCCUGGUAGUCCACGCCGUAAACGAUGAGUGCUAAGUGUUAGGGGGUUUCCGCCCCUUAGUGCUGCAGCUAACGCAUUAAGCACUCCGCCUGGGGAGUACGACCGCAAGGUUGAAACUCAAAGGAAUUGACGGGGACCCGCACAAGCGGUGGAGCAUGUGGUUUAAUUCGAAGCAACGCGAAGAACCUUACCAAAUCUUGACAUCCUUUGACAACUCUAGAGAUAGAGCUUUCCCCUUCGGGGGACAAAGUGACAGGUGGUGCAUGGUUGUCGUCAGCUCGUGUCGUGAGAUGUUGGGUUAAGUCCCGCAACGAGCGCAACCCUUAAGCUUAGUUGCCAUCAUUAAGUUGGGCACUCUAAGUUGACUGCCGGUGACAAACCGGAGGAAGGUGGGGAUGACGUCAAAUCAUCAUGCCCCUUAUGAUUUAGGCUACACACGUGCUACAAUGGACAAUACAAAGGGCAGCGAAACCGCGAGGUCAAGCAAAUCCCAUAAAGUUGUUCUCAGUUCGGAUUGUAGUCUGCAACUCGACUACAUGAAGCUGGAAUCGCUAGUAAUCGUAGAUCAGCAUGCUACGGUGAAUACGUUCCCGGGUCU
rnacentral:rRNA from 1 species